rnacentral:rRNA from 1 species
AUACGGAGGGUCCAAGCGUUAUCCGGAUUUAUUGGGUUUAAAGGGUUCGUAGGCGGAUCAAUAAGUCAGUGGUGAAAGCCUGUGGCUCAACCAUAGAACUGCCAUUGAUACUGUUGAUCUUGAGUACACUUGAAGUGGGCGGAAUGCGUCAUGUAGCGGUGAAAUGCAUAGAUAUGACGCAGAACACCGAUUGCGAAGGCAGCUCACUAAAUUGUAACUGACGCUGAGGAACGAAAGCGUGGGGAGCGAACAGGAUUAGAAACCCGGGUAGUCC